rnacentral:lncRNA from 1 species
CAAGGAGAAAAGUUGAUGAAUCAUUAGAUAUGAAGCCCAAUAAGAUAAGCCCAUUAGAUAAUUAGGGAACAUGCGAGAAUCAUUAGAUAUCUAAUUAGCCCAAUUGAGCAGAAGAUUAGCUGGGCCUAAUUGAACCCUAAACACCGAACUCCCGAAAGCCCAAAACCCCACCAUCGUAUAUAUAUAUCCCUAAUCUCAAAUACCCUUUAUUCUCAAAUACCCAUUAUCCUUUACCUAAUCUCAAACACCCUUAAUCUCAAACAC